GUUGACCUUGACAGCACAGAGCUUGAGCCUGAGCCAGAACAACUUCUAACAGAAAGAUCCUCCCAAGAAAUGCCCGCUGCAGUGUAUGUGAACAUCAGCGUUCUGGUGGACUCCGUCUUAGAAGAGGGCCUGAAGAAGCUGAACAGAAGCGUACUUACGUACGUGGCAGUGUUCAUGAAUGGGGUGAAUCUAAAGUAUGUGCACUUUAAGAAGCCGAGGUUCCUGAUGAAACUUCGAGUAAUUCGAAUUCUCUC